AAGAACCACACAACGAUGAUUCAUCCUCCCCGGUCGUGUUCAGAUCGAUUAAACACCCCAUUGAGCUGUCAAAGAAAAAACGGUUUUUGCACCGGAAGUAAGUUAUGAAGGAGAGGAUAUUUCAUGGCUGCAUAUCUAGAGACUUGUUUUCCAAGGUUAAAGAGUGCAACUUUGGCAUAAAAA